CCCAUGAACAAUGCUACUGCACCUACAAAGGUGAAGCAUAUGCUCCAGGGGCCAAAUUUACAUCCACAUGCAGUUCCUGCACAUGUACUGAUGGCCAGUGGGUUUGUGUCAGCUUUUCAUGCCCUGGGACAUGUAGUAUUGAAGGAGGGUCCCACAUCUCCACAUUUGAUGAGAAACGUUUCACUUUCUUUGGAGACUGUAACUAUGUACUGACAAAGCUUUGUGACAGUAAUGACUUCACUGUCCUGGGAGAAAUCCGUAAAUGUGGCCUAACUGACACUGAGACAUGCUUGAAAGGGAUAGCCAUAAGUCUUGG
rnacentral:lncRNA from 1 species